AUAUUAUAGAAUGUUACGAUAAAGUGUAGUAUUUGUUUUUAUCAUCUUUUAAUAUAUGAUAUAUGGGUCAUCGACCCCACUUGAUAUUAAUUUUAUUCUUUUAUGAGGAAAAAUCUAUUAUCUUAGCUUGGUGAUGUGGUUCUUUACGCAUCGCCUUGAACUUCCAAUACUGUUGCUACAGCUUACGCACUCCUC